rnacentral:hammerhead_ribozyme from 1 species
AUCCAACUGAUGAGUCCUAAAUAGAACGAAAAGCGCGUCCUGGAU